CCUACGGGAGGCAGCAGUAGGGAAUCUUCCACAAUGGGCGAAAGCCUGAUGGAGCAACGCCGCGUGGGUGAAGAAGGUCUUCGGAUCGUAAAACCCUGUUGUUAGAGAAGAAAGUGCGUGAGAGUAACUGUUCACGUUUCGACGGUAUCUAACCAGAAAGCCACGGCUAACUACGUGCCAGCAGCCGCGGUAAUACGUAGGUGGCAAGCGUUAUCCGGAUUUAUUGGGCGUAAAGGGAACGCAGGCGGUCUUUUAAGUCUGAUGUGAAAGCCUUCGGCUUAACCGGAGUAGUGCAUUGGAAACGGGGAGACUGGAGUGCAGAAGGGGAGAGUGGAACUCAAUGGGUAGGGGUGAAAUGCGUAGAUAAAUGGAAGAACACCAGGGGGGAAAGCGGCUCUCUGGUCUUUAACUGACGCUGAGGUUCGAAAGCGUGGGUAGCAAACAGGAUUAGAUACCCUAGUAGUC
rnacentral:rRNA from 1 species